rnacentral:lncRNA from 1 species
CCGAUCCAGUUGGCCCUUCUGAGUUUCUUCUUGGAAUGUAGCCCAAAGGGCACCUUCUCCCUUCGGCCUCUUCCUCUGUUCCAUUUAUAUUUCCCUGCUUCCCUCUGCAGAGAAGAGAUCCAAGACUUCUUGAACUGUAUCGACGCAAGUCUUGAGGAGCUUCAGGCAAUGCUCUCCGGGAAGAAAACCCACCACGCUCCGGAAGCACUGACGGAUACCUUCAGUCCUGAGCUUCCUGUGUUGGAUUCAAGCAUACCAGAAGCUCCUCUCAGAUUGGAACAGACAGAAGCCUUACCAGCAAACUUAGACGCAGAUGGGAUAAAGAAUGAGGAAACCUCAGGGAAGAACGACAUGCAGCUGAUUCAGUAUCGGGGGAACCCUUUGCUUUCCCUGUUUGAAGAACCGCCUUCCAGUGAGGAAGACGUCCGCCUGGAGAACGCCAGACGGCAUCUGCUGGGUCCCGUGGAGAGCAACGAAGCAGCGCAGCGAGUCACCGGCCCAGAGGGCCAAAUGGACGGAGCCCUGGAUCAGCCUCUUCUCUCAGAAGACAUGAACGGCGAAUAUAAACUCUUCCCUCUUCUGCUUCUCAGCCCCGUGGCAAAUUUCAUAGAAGAGGCCUCAGAAAUAGAGACAACUUGAAUCACUGACCUUUCACAAAAUAGCAUCUUUUCUGUGGAAAAAGAUUCAAGAACCGCUGCUGGUCGCAGUUCUGCUUUCCUUGCUUUCUGUGGCUGAAUUUCCUCCAUAAACAAGGCAAAGCUAUUUUUACCCGCACGAAUGUAGUGUUAGGAAGGCAGCUGCAAGGCUGAAGUUCCAAAUUGCACUGAUUUUUUUUUUUUUUUAAAGUAAAAAAGAGCAAAUUUCAAAUCUCCUUUUGAACUAUUUUAUACACAAAUAUGCUAUAAAUGAGAUUAAUGUUUAUAUCUUAGUGUAAGAUUUGCAUAGGGUUUUCAGGUCAUUUGAUCCCAUAAUCGUCAAUAUUAUCAUAAUACAUUUAUUUUUCUUCCUGAACUGUUCUGUUAAAGAUAGCAAGUAUGUUAGAAUUAUGUUGGGCGUUUUUUUUGUUUGUUUUUGGUAACUAAUCUUCCUUUGCUCCAAACUUUUGCCUCAGUCCUCACUACUCUGACCUUUUAUGUAUUAUUUACCUUUAAGUUCUCCCUCUAAUUGUUGCAAGUAACUUCUGUUUCCUAUGGCAAACAAUAUAUUUUUAACAUUUAUCUUAAAAUAACGGUAGCAUGUCUGCCUGCUGCAUAUUUAGAUACUUCGAUGCUCAUUGCAUGUCGCACCUUCUGUUCCCAAGAUGUGGCUUUCUCACGAAUAAAUAAUAGAAUUAUCCAAGAAGAAGUACCGGUAUACCAUCAAAGCCACCUUUGCUCUUUAAGUCAACAUUUCCUUGCAUAGGCCUGAACCCCGAUAAGGUGUUCUGUCCAGGUACCGCUGGCAGGUGCCCUUCUGAGGCUUGGGACCUGAUGCCCACGGGGUUUGCUGGUUCCAGCGAUUUUCUCCCAGACUGCAGAGUCUUCUGUGCCCCCUGCCUUCAAAAGCGGAAUUUAGAGACCAUUUAGCAUGUUGGGAUAAAUAGAAAGAUUAACCUCUCUUCUGGAUGGGCAGGACAUCUCCUGAACUUGUUUGGCCCUUUGCCCGUAAACAAAAUAUAGUGGCCAAAUCCAGCCACCCAACAUCCCAGCAAGCGUCACGAGUGCCAACCCUUUAAUUCCACAUCAUCUUUGGGGGCGGAAGAACCAUAGGGAUUGGAGCCAAAAUUCCCACCUUAGCUCUCCUGUAAGUGGUUUAAUC